AAACGCUGAAGGCAUCUAAGCGUGAAACUUCCCUCGAGAUAAGUAUUCCCACUCUUCGGAGGUAAGGCCCCACGUAGACUAUGUGGUUGAUAGGUCAGGAGUGGAAGUGCAGUAAUGCAUGCAGCGGACUGAUACUAAUAGGCCGAGGGCUUGACCUA
rnacentral:rRNA from 1 species